GAUGAACGCUGGCGGCGUGCCUAAUACAUGCAAGUCGAGCGAACAAAUGAGGAACUUGUUCCACUGACGUUAGCGGCGAACGGGUGAGUAACACGUGGAUAACCUACCUUUAAGACUGGGAUAACUUCGGGAAACCGGAGCUAAUACCGCAUAAUAUAUUUAAACGCAUGUUUUAAUAGUGAAAGACGGAUUUGCUUCCACUAAAAGAUAUAUCCGCUCCUCAUUAGCAAUUUGGUAAGGUAACGGCUUACCAAGCCAACAUACAUUAUCGCACAUGAGAGGGUGACCGCCCAAAUUGGAACUGAAACACGGCCAAGAUCCCUACGGAAGCAACCAGUGGGGAUCCUUCGGAAUUGGGCGAAAGCUUACCGGAGCAAGGCGGGGUGAUUGAUGAAGGUCUUCGGAUCGAAAACCUCUGUUAUUAGGAAAGAACAAAUGUGUAAGUAACUACUCACGUAUUGACGGUACCUAAUCAGAAAGCCACGGCUAACUACGUG
rnacentral:rRNA from 1 species